GUGCAAACUCGAUCACUAACUCCUCAUGAUGUUGCAGAAGUGAGGAGAAUCAAGUUUACUAGAGGAAUUGCAGUGGUACUCAUGGAUUUGCUUCAGAUCUUACAGAGGCUGCCUAUUCUAACCUGGCACAGGG